UGUUAUAUCAAUCAGAGACUCAGAUUUGGGUGCAGAAAAUAGGGGCGAGAGAUGAAAAGGUGACAUGCCCCUGAAAGUUGGGGAAAGAGGGGUCAUUGCUGGGGAACAGAGUCCAGUGGGGAUGUGAGACUAAUCAUUCCCCAUAGGGGUCACAGGGAGGGGCGACAGGCAUCUUGCAGGCAUCACAGGAACAGUCAUUCUGGGGUAAAAUAGGGGAAUCGCUGAGGUCAGAUGGGAGCCAGAACCAUCUUCAGGCUGAUGAAGAGGAUUGUGGCUUACUGGGAAGCCCAUGCUUCCUGCACUAUGUCUAUUUAUGGCACCCAAGUGGGCUUAUUAGUGGCUGAGAAAUAAUCAGACAAGGGUACCUGGGUCUUCUCGGCAAAGAGGAUGUCCUAUGGUUCUGCUGUGACUCACCCGCACCUAACAGGGCUUGGGGAGCCUUUCCCUAGGAGAAUGUCCGUCAAAUGCCUCUUAUCCACAAAAGCUAGAAUUCCUCCCCUGUGCCACACGGGCCCAGGGUCAUUGGAGGGAGAAACUGUGUAAGUCUCCCAGUGCACACGUAAGAUGAGGGUUGGUUCUGGUCAAGCUCUGGACAGCCAGAGUACAGGCCAGUAGGCUAGAGCUCACAGCUAUGGUCCCCUCUCCACCCAUGCAUCUUCUGAUGUUGGGCUUAUGUCUGAUUUCUUCACCUCUAGCCAGAGCCAUGGGAAGCCAUUCUGUCCCCUCUGAGGGAGCUUCGAAUACAUGUAGAGUGUCACGCUGCCCUCUCUAAGCCCCCUUGAUCCUUUCCUACCCCCACCCCUGACCCUUUCCAGUCCCCACCAGUUCUUCAAGACAGUCGAGCUGAAAUCCCUGUAGAAUCCCUUCUUGGCUCUGCAUUCACCCUUCCCAGGCUGCUGUUUUCUUUCUAACGUGUGUCCUAUUUACUACCAGAGCAGUUUGCACUUGUUUAUUUACAAGGGUGGACAGAUGGACAGAGAGACAAACAGACUAAGAAAACUUACUUCUAUCAGAUGUUUCCUCUGCAGGGCAGGGAUGCAGAGUGAGUUUAGCAUCACCCCUCCCCAUCUUAAAUUUUUCUACAAUGAACAUCUAUUGCUUUUAUAGGAAAGGAGGGGACCACUAUAAACGUUUCAUUUAGAAACCCUUCCCUGGUUCCCCAACACCUCCAGAAGAAGGCUCAUCUUUCGUCUGUGUCUGGCCACUGAGUCCACUGUCCACCCAGGGAUCCCUCAGUAGGACAUAGCUUUGCACAGCUGCCUUCUCCACUCUGCACAUAUGUUCACGUCUGACCCAGACCAGCUAGUUGUCUGUCAUAACCCAGCUCCUGCAUUCUCUUUUCAACCCCGCCCUUGCCUGCUUAGCCUACCUUGGAGAGUCUAGCGUUGCUCUGGUGACACCCAGCCACAUGUUUCUGCUUCUUCUGCCUUAUUUACACAUCCAAUUCCUUAAGGGAAGACACCACAUAAAGUUCAACUUCCCUGCCCAGCACCCAGUACACAGUAACCGCGCUAGUAACAACAGCUACGUCUUCACAUCAAGUACUGCUGGGGAAGCUAAGUUAAGUACUUCCUGCUCCUGCCUUGUUCACUCUUCACAGAAGCCCUAAGAGAAACUUAUGUUGCUAUCUCUGUGUGGCACUCUGGGAUAUUAAGUGACGUAUAGAGGACCUCAUGCAAUUGCAUGGCACAAUACGGACCCCCAAACCAGGACACCAUAGGUGUUAGCUGAUGAAGACCUAAGUCAAGUGGAACCGGGAAGGCCAAUCCCAGGCCAUGAUAGUUUCUCCUGCCACGUAAACACGCUUCAGGGAGUCCCGGAGGGGACGCAACUGGCUGGCAUCAGAGGGUGAGAUAUCUGGGGUGGGUGGGGGUUCCUUUCUCCAGGCUCUUUCCAGAAAUCCUUCACCCGCUCCAGGUUCUGCAGGUUUGGAGCUAACCCAGCUCCUGCUUUGAUCUCUGCAGCUCAGCUCAGUUGCCAUGGAGACAGGCCCACUGCACCAAGCUGGGGGAAAGAUGAAGUGCGCAGGCCUGGUGGGUUUAGGGGGCGCAUGCUGGGUAUUUUGGAGGCUGUUUACUUCCUGUCAUUUUAAUUAGCACCCAAAUCGCCAGCUCACUUCACAGCUUGAGUUAACCCAAUCAAUUCCGCUAGCAGCGGGCAGAGGAGGAGGGGGCAGGGAACCCAGCAGAGACUCACCGUCUCUGCAGCAGUAUGGUGAGGGAAGCGACCCCUCACCCCGAUGCCCCGCGUGGAGUCAGCGUACUGGGUUCCUGCGUGGCUUUACCUCUGAUUCCAGGCAAGGGUCCCCUGCCCUGGACAAACUCUACUUCCUUAUUGGUAAAACAGGGCUCUCUGCAAUGCUCAGAACCAAGAUGGAAGGACACUGGGAAGGCGGGACAUAACCAGGACCACAGAACACAGGUUUCAAGUGGCCACAAAUACCGACUUCUGCCAUCGUCUCACGGCGAGGCGACUGUCACAGCGCAUUCGCACGGGUUCAUCAUGAGACUCGGCUUCUGUAAUUCUGUUAGGACAUGUUUUUCCCAUUCUCUUAAUAGAUCCAGAAUCUCUAAUUUUUGGUUUUUCAAGACAAGCUUUCUCUGUGUGGCCCUGGCUGUCCUGGAACUUGCUCUGUCAAACCAGGCUGGCCUUGAACUCAGAGAUCUGCCUUCCUCUGUCUCCUGAGUGCUGGGGUUAAAGGCAUGUACCACCACUGCCCAGCUAAAAAUCUUUAAAAAUGUAAGUGGGCCAGGCCUCACCUAAGCUCCAAGAGGCCUGGUAUCUGAGAAUCAUUUCACCUCAUACCAGAGCACACGUGAAUGGUGCAGGAAUGCCCCUCACCCCUGGGGAAGGCUCGGAGUUAGGGGGCCUUAUAGGGUACCUUCUCCUGUCUCCCCCAAGAAACAACCAUAGCCACGGAAAGGGUUCAGGAGGGGAGAGGUGAGGCUGCCUGGCACCAGCUUCUGCCUCAGCAAAAGGGAGGGCAGGCUGGGAGGGGCAUCAUUAAACACCUGCUUCCCUCUCACAGGGCUGCGUGAGACCUGGGCAAACAGACGGAGACAGGCAUCUAGGAGACGCUGCUUCCCACCUCUUCCCUCUCAGGAAUUUCCUCCAAAGGUAAAAAUGUGCUUCUCACUGCUCCCUGCAUGCCAGGAGCCUGGCCGGCAUUCAGAUAUGCCUGCACCCACGCCCCUGCCAAGGCCAGAGCAUGACCUCCCAUGACUCUAACAGGAUCUGGGCCACCCUCACCCACUCAGGCCUUGGAUCCUACACCCAGCAGAGUGUAAAUAACUCACACACAGUGGGUGGAGAAGAGGAGAGAGGCCAAGGGUCUGGGCUCUAUUCUGAACCAUGUCUCAGGCCUUGGUUUCCCAACGGAACCACCAGAGAUAAAUCAAGGUUGCCAUGGCGAUCUCUAAGGAAGACCCCAGCCAUGAGCUGAGGAAACUUGGGACAGAGUCUCAGGCACCUGGCCUUCUGGACCCCUUUCUUCAUAGAUAAGAUCUGACCUGGUGGAGAAUGAGGUGUCAUGGCCAUCUGUCCCCUGAGAAUGGCUGGGAGACAAGAGAAGAAUCCUGCAUCCUCAUCAAGUGGUCUCUUUCAUCCCUCUCUUCCCAGGCUGAGCAUCCUGCCGAGCCCUCAAAUCCAUCACCAUGCUGCCCUGUUCUGAAGAUGCCAACCUUCUGGUGGGAGAAGAGUCAGAAACCAGGGUGGUGGUGGUGGUGGUGGUGGUGGAGGAGGAGGAGGAGGAGGAGGAGGAGGAGGAGGAGGAGGAGGAGGAAGAGGAGGAGGAGGCGGCCAGUGAAGGACCUGGCCUACUCCCAAACCAAAAUUAUAGAAUCCCUUCUGACCCACUUUGGGGUUCUCACAAGCCCACACCCCUCACAGCAUGUGCAUACGCACUCUCACUGGCUUAGGAGUUGGGAGCAGGAGGGAACGGUCCUCUGGAAACCCCUUUGCUGCUUUCCCAUGUUACUGGCCUAUUGGCAUGCACAAAGACCUGGGACUUGCACACGGUCAGCAGGGAGAAACCCUGACCUGCAGCCUCCAGGAUCACCAUGAAGCCCGAAGUACGCAUACACAGAUCCAUAGUGGAUGCAGGAACUAAUCACGCUGCUGUACCAUCCUUGACAUAAAGGAUGAGGAAGGUUGUGGGCCAGCUCUAAAGACACUCCUUUCCGUAUGACAAAGGUGGCCUGCAGGGGAUGCCUUCCUUCCUUCCUGGGAUAUGCUUCCUCAGUGCAUACUCACGUCAGCCUCCCAAUCUGAAGCUGAGGCUCGAAGGGCAGACGUUCUAUGCCUGACAUCUCAUGGGAAGAACCUGAGUACAGGCCAAGCUGUCCCUCCCUGUCCCUCUUUGGUUAUUACUAGGCUAGACCAGGCUGCUGAAGACACUGGGUCUUUGUCAUCCUUCCAAGGAGAUGCUGCCUCUUCUUGAGACAGCCUUGGAAGCUGAUAGGACACUAGCCAGGGGACACAGUUGGCCCUUCCUCCCUGAUUCAGUAGAGAUGAGGAAUGCCAGAUAUCCUGAAAACAAAGCCGGACUACAUGACCUGGAUUCAAAUCCAAGUUCUGGGGCUGGAGGUGCGGCUCAGUUGGUGGGGUGCUUGCCUGGUGUGCACAGAAACCCGAGUUCAGUUCUCAGUGCUGGAGAAACCAGGCACAGUGGUGUGUGCUUGUAAGCCCUCACCUGGGAUCCAUGAGCUUGUCUCAGAGGAACAAGACAACAAUGAAAUCCCAGCCCUGCCACUUCCCAGCUGUGGAUCCUCCAAAUAAACCACUCACACAAUGUCUCCGUGCCUUUGACCACACAAGGAUCAAGGGACAACUGUCUUGGGUUGUGGAGAGGCGCGAGCGGCAAUGCGUGUUUGGAAGGCUCACCGCCAUCCCGACUCAGCAUGGAUUAGCAGCGCGCCUCUGGGUGCCAAGCACUAUGCUCACCACUCACAAAUAUAAUUAAAAUUUAAUGGAAGUGGAGUGCAAAGCGGAGAAGAGCCAAGAAGAGAGAGAACAGUCAGUUCUUCCCAGCCAAGCUCUUUCGAGCCGACCCUAGAGAUACAGUGUAAUGGCUUUCUCUUCUCAAGUGCUCCUAACCAUGAGGCCCUGCGUGCUGCGUUCCAAGACCCACACGCAAGUCUGACCCAGCUCUGCAGGGAGUGAAUUCAGAUUCGAGAACACAGAAGAGCAGGACUGCCCUGGGCAGAGAACCUGGCCACAGAGCCAGGCUCAGGCCACAACUUCCUAGCUACUCCGUCAUGAAUCUGCUGCUCUCUGGGAGAAGAGUGGCCGGCGUUAGAAAAGACCCACAGAACCAGGAUGUGAGAGCCUGGUGCCCACUGGAGGGGAGGAUUACUCUGCUGGCAAAGCCUGCCUCUGAUAAUCCUGCUGCCCACAGAGAGAAUGCUAAGCGGAAGGCCCUUCUCGCCGAGCCAAUCCCGUGUCCAAGCAACACCUUAGAGCUUCUCCUACCUUGGACUCUUCUGACAGGAUCUCCUCCAUCUUCCCUGCUCAUCUGUCAACUGUUCAAUGACAUAGCCCCUCAUCCAUGUCCCUGAUGCCUUGGAUCCUGUUCCCAGAGCACAGCCUCUUCCUUGCCCCUCUGUUACCCAGCACACAGGUGGCCCUGUGUCAUCUGUGAUCACUUAUGAACCAAAGUCAAACUCAACCUGGGAGUCCCCUAGGGACUCCUCAAAAACUGUUCCUUUUUCUCUCCCAAAGAGAUGUUUUCCUGUUCUUCAGAAGCGCUGACCCGGUGGAGAUGGAUAUAGAUACCUGUUCUACAGCGUCUGACUGGAGGCCCCAGCUCUUAGGGUGGGACGGGAAGCAAAUGCAGCACAGGCAGGGUCCCUAGGCACAGUCUGUGCACCACACAACUCCACGAGGCACUGUUCUCCCUGUGGCGUGGCUACAAUUAUGCAAGGUGGUGGCUCUGAGCUAGCAGCCUCCUUUCUGCCUUUCAGGAGAAGCUGCCAACAGAUUCCCCAAGGCUGAGCCCCGCACCCCCCCCCACCGCCUUUCUUGUCUCACUUCCAUCCCAGACCCCAUCCUCCUGCAGCCAGCCCCCCUACUCCUUGGGCUUUAGAGAAAAAUCUGAGUUUUCAAAGCACAAAUCCCCCCUCUCUGCCACCGUGUUCUCUGUGAAUCCUGCAGGGGUUGGUCCUGUGGUUUUAAUGCUGGUGCCUUUCUUCUGAUGGGGGUGGUGGUGGCACCAAUACAGGGAGACAGGUGGGCAGCCCUAAGCCGGGGGUCAAGUCAGUCAAGCAUUCAUUGGCACCCACUGUGUUGGCUGCUGGAAGCCGGGUCGAUGGAGAAGAACCUGUGAUUUUUAAGCCCUCACUGGUCUGAUGAAGCAGUACUUUUUCCAUCUGACCUUCACUAGUCCCAGGCAGAUCAGGCAGCCGGGAAGUCAGAGGGAGGCCGGGACCGGUGACACAUGGAUUCCUUCCGGAAGGAUCAGCUUGCUGCUGCCCCCUCAUUGCUGGACUGCGGACAGUGGCAGGAGACUGCGCUAAUCUGGGCUGGGCCUGCAGGUGCCUGGGGAAGGCCUUUGGUCGGGCAAAGAUGGAGAACAAGGGCCCACUAUGUGGUCCGGGGGUCUGGAUGCCUAUGGUGGUUCCUUCCCUUUACUAAUGAAAUUAUGUCACUUGGACUGAAAACAAAACCAUCCGAACCUC